GAGAAUCCAAAUUGAGAUGUGCUCUAAAUAUACCGGAUUUUUAAAGACUCAAUAUGAAAAAGAGGAUGUAAACUAUUUCACUAAUACCUUUGAAAAUGCUGAUUACAUAUUGCAAUAAUAUUUGGAUAUUUGCGUUAAACAAAAUAUAUUGUUAAAAUCAAUUGCACCUGUUUCUUUUUCUUUUUCUAAAGUGACUACCAUUAGAACACUUAAAAUUACCUAUGCAGACCAGAGUCUAUUUCUCUUGGACAGCACUGUUCUUUCUAUACGGAGUUGCUUUCAAAGAAGCCCCAUCAAAUAGCCAAAAGUAAUCAGGAGUACCAACAGCAAAAGACAAACGACAAACAAAACACCCAGGAAUUUCAGUCUUUAAUUUGUGUCUCUUUGGAAAACAACACGGAAGCGUCAUUAAUGCUUGUUACAUUUCCUUUCCUCUUGUCCCAGUUUUCUUGCACUCAAUGCUAUUUUGGAGCCUUUACUUUGCCACUUCCCCGCCCCCGCUGCCAACUACUCAUACACCAUCGGUCCACUUCAGCCCACAGGACAUUUGUUUGCGCUCCACUGUUCUACCAGCUGCACCACUACACCCUCUCUCUAUAGGAUCCUUCCUCUCCACCUCCUGCCUCUCACACCUUAUUUCUUAUCUAUUCUCUGAAUUAACACCUCCGAAGAACUGUUCUCCGGUUGCACAGCCAGAGGGACACGGGGAGAGUGGGGCAGACUACCAUUAACCAAAGUCAUAAAAGACUGAUGGAUAAACCAGAGUGCCAAAGAGUUCGUUGACAGCAGAGAGUCUUUUGGGGGGGGGACUGCACGCUCCCUCUGCAGUGGAGGAACACCGACCCUGGGUCUAUAUUGUAUGCUGUGUGGGAUGUGUAUUGCACAAAGCCAGGGGACACAUUUACACAGAGUGUAGUAUAAUGUCACACGUACAGCAUGGUGGUUCCCAGUAUGCUCUGGGUUCCCGAGAAGGUGAAUUACCAAGUUCGGCGAGCUCAGUAUUAGAACUAAGAAACUCUUGAGAGAGAUUUGAUCAAAGCCACGGUGGAUGCUUCCCCUUCAGGAGCCAAAUGUAACUAUGUGGAGGCCGGGGAGCCUGAAUCCCCAGAUUUGCUGACUCUGCCUCUUGGCCAGGCCCGGAUAAACACUGACUAGUUCCUAUCCUUUGGCUUUCUCUUUUCCCAGGCUCCAGGAAGAACCACGCUGUUCUGAUGACAAGGUUCUCCUCCUAUAAGCCUGAACAGGAGACACUUGAUCGGGUUUCAGCUCGGCUGCAAGGAAGCUUGGGAUUUCAUUACUGCAACUUCCCUCAGCCGAGAGUUCUUGACGAGGAAACGGAGGCACAGAGACUCCCAGUUACUUGCCCAAGACAGCACAGACGUAAGUAGAGGAGUCGGGAUUGGGAUCCAGGUGUGUGGCUCCCGACCCCGCCACCUGCGUUGGGGUGAAGCAGCCCGGCCCCCCGGGACAAGGAGCCACGUGUGCGGAGAGCCCAGAGGGCGCUCAGCUUGUCUUUAUGCGCUGUCAGUGCGCGUCUCGGGCCACACGAAGGGCCCGCCGAGGGGCAUCCAGCAGUCUCCGUCCUUCCUGUCCCCUCUUCCUUUACCUGGAAUGCAGGUACUCUCGAUGGGGAGACUGUUAGUCCCAUCUUACAGGUGAAGAAGUUGAGACGUGAAAGGCCAAGGAACUUGCCCAGGACCUCACGGCUCCUAAGCGGCAGAGCUGAGGCUUGAACCCAGGGCUUUCCAGGCCCGCCUAAAGACAAACAGCCAAGUCAUUUUCUCAGAACAAGGGGGCGGCGAGGGGGGCUCCACCCCCACGGCCACCGCUGUCUUGUCGCUUGUGUCUUAGAAGCUCUCUGUGCAGGCCCCGCCUCUCUGUCCCCCCUCCGCCCAGGGCUGAGUGAGAUGGCCCAGCUCUCUCACUUUGGGAAACUGUGCGGUUUGGGGUUUCUCCGGGUCUGGGGACUGCCGAGAGUCUGUGGCUGCACCCAACCAGGGGGCAGGUCUCAUGCCCGGGGAACGAUCUGCCAUCUUCCCCAGGAGCCCCGAGCUACGGUGGGAGGCACCGUGCCCCGUCCCUGAGGUCGCAGCAGUCCAGGCAAAGACAGAGGUAGGACCCAGCAAGGCUGCUCAGGGGCCUUGGCCAAGUCCCUGCCAAACCCCUGCUCCGUCAGUGAAGAGCCUUUUGAAGCCGCUCCCCAGUUUUGGAGUUGGAGAGUGGCUGAGGGAGCGGGAAGGAACCCCCAUUCGGGGACCUGGGGGUCUGGGCAGGAUUUAGGAACAGCCCAGCGGUGUUCUCUGGACAUCGCCAAGGGCCACUGCUGAGGGGCGGCCCUCUCUGUCUCGCUCGGCUGCUCUUGGCACCUUUACAGGGGCACACACGGGCUUCCCUCCCACGGGUGGGCGGGCAGGAGCCCUGAAUCCACAGCGGGAUCAGGACGAUCCUACGAUGUAGUGAAGCCGUCCGUGCCCCACCCAGACCCCCGCUUAGCAUGCCCCAGCCCCUGCCAACGGGACGGCAGAGGGCACGGCUCCCUGCCUGCGUGUCUUCUCCAGGCCAGGGCAGGUCAGCAAGCAGGGGGUUGGAUGACACCCCAGGGGGAUGAAGUCCCGGCGGCCCAUGGUGGUAACGUGCCCCACACCAUAGUUUACAGACUUCCUACACUUCUGUGUCCCACUGCCUUCUGGGACAAAAUCCUGGAUCUGCUGCAAAGCCCCGUCUGCCCCUUCCAAGCUGUGCAAUGCUGGGCCAGUGAAAUGGGAGCAAAGUAGCAUUUAGCUCUUCGAGGAUUACAUUAGUCUGAGGAUGACAUGAGGCGGCUCCCAUGAAGAGUUGGCACAGUGGCUGGCGCAGAGCAGCCUUUCUGUAAGUGUUGGCGGGACGGCUCUUCUGUGCUUCUUCUGAAACCCUCUCAGAGCCCCGUGCCCUGCCAGUAGCCAAACGUCCAGGUCGUGCAGGAACGGGGACAAGGAGCUUCAGAAAGGGCUCCGGACUCGAGGUGGGAGGAGAGGGCUCGGAUUUAGCCGGGCCGCCAACUAGCUGGACCUCAGUUUCCUCCUCUGUGAAAUGGGACUGUAAAUCCCCAGCUCACGGGGCUGCCGUGAAGAAGAAAUUAAACCCUGUGUAGAAACCAUCUGGCAGGGAAUCUGGUGUGUGGCGGGUGCUCAGCCAACGUUUGUGGAAGCACAAGGAGAAGGGACAGCACUCUGAACAGUCCGCAGGGGCUGUGGCACCUCUCCCGGCCCAGGGCGUGACCCCAGCGUGACUCGCCAUUCUGAAACCUCAAAUUUGGGCCUGGCCCUCUGCCCGCUGGUGCAGCCUCCCUGCCUGGGUCACCCCAGGGCCACCUUCGCCUGAGCAGACAGGAAAAGUCAGCAGGCGGAAAGGCAGGGCCCCUUGCCACUCCGAAUGAGGCUCACCUCCUUGUUCCAUGCCCAGACAGGAUACGGUAUUGUUCCGUGAACCUACCUCCUUCACCGGGCAAAGCCAGCAAGAGCCACGGGUGUCGUUGUUCGUCUGGGAAGACGGGCUCACCUACUGGGUGAGCUUGACCAGAAUGAGGGAGUGCAUUGGGAGAGAAAGGGUGUUCUCAAGCAAUCACUCCCCACCCAAAAGAGGGGGGAGGAUUCUCCAGGGAGAGAGGAGACACAGGCCCGCUGCCCCAGACACAGGCUUCAGCCUUCGCAUCAGCGCGGCAGGCUCACUGCGAGUAGCUGUUUUCUUGGAAGAAACAAGACCAGUCAUGUUAAUAGGUGGCUUUCGUUUUAGGAAGGGUUUGUUAUUUAUUAGCUUAUUUAUUAGCUUACUUAUCACAACCACCCUGUAAAACAGGCUGGGACACUGUAUCUCCUAUUUGACAGGUGGGGGAAACUGAGGUCCAGAGAGGCAAAUAAUCAGCCUCAGUCACGUGCCAGAGGCCAAAGCAGGAGGAGUCUUAUACUGUGGGGCUCAGUCACAUGGAUUCUCCACUCCAGAAAGUGGACAGUUUAAAUGGCAGAAAUUUUAAAGAUUAAAAUUUUAAAGAUAUUUUAAAAGGGGAAAGCCUUCUUUUUUCAGAGAGAGGCAGGGAGACACAG